CGAGUGGCGGACGGGUGAGUAAUGCUUGGGGAUCUGGCUUAUGGAGGGGGAUAACGACGGGAAACUGUCGCUAAUACCGCGUAGAAUCGAGAGAUGAAAGUGUGGGACCUUCGGGCCACAUGCCAUAGGAUGAACCCAAGUGGGAUUAGGUAGUUGGUAGGGUAAUGGCCUACCAAGCCGACGAUCCCUAGCUGGUCUGAGAGGAUGACCAGCCACACCGGGACUGAGACACGGCCCGG
rnacentral:rRNA from 1 species